GAUGAACGCUAGCGGCAGGCUUAACACAUGCAAGUCGAGGGGUAUAGGUUUUCGGACCUAGAGACCGGCGCACGGGUGCGUAACGCGUAUGCAAUCUACCUUUUGCAGAGGGAUAGCCCAGAGAAAUUUGGAUUAAUACCUCAUAGUAUAACACAAUCGCAUGAUUGAGUUAUUAAAGUCACAACGGCAAAAGAUGAGCAUGCGUCCCAUUAGCUAGAUGGUAAGGUAACGGCUUACCAUGGCUACGAUGGGUAGGGGUCCUGAGAGGGAGAUCCCCCACACUGGUACUGAGACACGGACCAGACUCCUACGGGAGGCAGCAGUGAGGAAUAUUGGUCAAUGGACGCAAGUUUGAACCAGCCAUGCCGCGUGCAGGAUGACGGUCCUAUGGAUUGUAAACUGCUUUUGUACAGGAAGAAACGCUCCUUCGUGAAGGAACUUGACGGUGCUGUAAGAAUAAGGAUCGGCUAACUCCGUGCCAGCAGCCGCCGUAA
rnacentral:rRNA from 1 species